AGCUCCAAUAGCGUAUAUUAAAGUUGUUGCAGUUAAAAAGCUCGUAGUUGGAUUUCGGGAUGAGAAGCAUGGUCUACCGAAAGGUGUGUACUAGGCGGCUCAUUCUUCCUUCUGUAGACCUUUGUGGUUCUUGAUUGGAUUGCAGAGUGGAUGCAGAACUUUUACUUUGAAUAAAUUAGAGUGUUCAAAGCAGGCAUUUGCUUGAAUACAUUAGCAUGGAAUAAUGGAAUAGGACUUUGGUUCUAUUUUGUUGGUUUCUAGGACUAAAGUAAUGAUUAAUAGGGAUAGUUGGGGGCAUUAAUAUUUAAUUGUCAGAGGUGAAAUUCUUGGAUUUAUGAAAGAUUAACUUCUGCGAAAGCAUUUGCCAAGGAUGUUUUCAUUAAUCAAGAACGAAAGUACG
rnacentral:rRNA from 1 species